rnacentral:rRNA from 1 species
CAGUGGGGAAUAUUGCACAAUGGGCGCAAGCCUGAUGCAGCCAUGCCGCGUGUAUGAAGAAGGCCUUCGGGUUGUAAAGUACUUUCAGCAGUGAGGAAGGUGGGUAUGUUAAUAGCAUACUCAUUUGACGUUUAGCUGCAGAAGAAGCACCGGCUAACUCCGUGCCAGCAGCCGCGGUAAUACGGAGGGUGCGAGCGUUAAUCGGAAUUACUGGGCGUAAAGCGCAUGCAGGUGGUUUGUUAAGUCAGAUGUGAAAGCCCGGGGCUCAACCUCGGAAUUGCAUUUGAAAACUGGCAAACUAGAGUACUGUAGAGGGGGUAGAAUUUCAGGUGUAGCGGUGAAAUGCGUAGAGAUCUGAAGGAAUACCGGUGGCGAAGGCGGCCCCCUGGACAGAUACUGACACUCAGAUGCGAAAGCGUGGGGAGCAAACAGGAUUAUAUACCCUGGUAG